UGGGGAAUAUUGCACAAUGGGCGCAAGCCUGAUGCAGCCAUGCCGCGUGUGUGAAGAAGGCCUUCGGGUUGUAAAGCACUUUCAGCGAGGAGGAAGGUGGUGAGCUUAAUACGCUCAUCAAUUGACGUUACUCGCAGAAGAAGCACCGGCUAACUCCGUGCCAGCAGCCGCGGUAAUACGGAGGGUGCAAGCGUUAAUCGGAAUUACUGGGCGUAAAGCGCACGCAGGCGGUUUGUUAAGUCAGAUGUGAAAUCCCCGGGCUCAACCUGGGAACUGCAUUUGAAACUGGCAAGCUAGAGUCUCGUAGAGGGGGGUAGAAUUCCAGGUGUAGCGGUGAAAUGCGUAGAGAUCUGGAGGAAUACCGGUGGCGAAGGCGGCCCCCUGGACGAAGACUGACGCUCAGGUGCGAAAGCGUGGGGCAGCAAACAGGAUUAGAUACCCUGGUAGUCCACGCUGUAAACGAUGUCGAUUUUGGAGGUUGUGCCCUUGAGGCGUGGCUUCCGGAGCUAACGCGUUAAAUCGACCGCCUGGGGAGUACGGCCGCAAGGUUAAAACUUAAAG
rnacentral:rRNA from 1 species